GAAGCCAUCGAGCAUCUGUGCCAGAACCGAACCACCAUCGUCAUCGCCCACCGCCUGCACACCAUCAUGCAUGCCGACCAGAUUCUGGUGGUCGAGAACGGCACCAUCGUCGAGACCGGACGUCACGAUGACUUGCUGCGGCGCGGCGGACGCUACGCCUCGUUCUUCCGUUUGCAGCAUCGUGAAGCCAACCCGCUGGCUCCGA
rnacentral:misc_RNA from 1 species